UCCCUACGGGGUGCACCAGGCGCGAAACCUCCGCAAUGCACGCAAGUGCGACGGGGGGACCCCAAGUGCCACUCUUAACGGGGUGGCUUUUUUGGAGUGUAAAAAGCUCUAAGAUACGUAUUGGA
rnacentral:rRNA from 1 species